UACGAAGGGGGCUAGCGUUGCUCGGAAUCACUGGGCGUAAAGGGUGCGUAGGCGGGUCUUUAAGUCGGGGGUGAAAUCCUGGAGCUCAACUCCAGAACUGCCUUUGAUACUGAAGAUCUUGAGUUCGGGAGAGGUGAGUGGAACUGCGAGUGUAGAGGUGAAAUUCGUAGAUAUUGGGAGGAACACCAGUGGCGAAGGCGGCUCACUGGACCGGAACUGACGCUGAGGCGCGAAAGCGUGGGGAGCAAACAGG
rnacentral:rRNA from 1 species